GUCAACGGAAGAGUCAGAACGACAGUUUAACUUAACGAUACGAUUCCACCGCGACCAAAAAGCAGGGCAGCUUCUGAAUGAAUCCACUCACUCAUUCCAGUCAUUCCCCCACCUGUCCCUGCGUUACCCGCACACAGAGCCUCUGCGUUCAGGCAGGACUAACCGUGCUGGCCCUGAGGGUCAGCUUUCACUCGGCGGCCUGGCUCGGGCCGCUGUGACAUUUCCCCUUGCUCCUGCGGACGCUGCUCUGAGGUACAUUCGACAAGGGUACUUGGGACAACGUUCGGCGCUGCUUUCACAUCCUGCUUGCCUUGAACUCUCUGCCCUGUAGCCACCGGAUUGCGGUAAGAUUUCCGUAUCGUCCUUUUUUGGGCCUCUGCUCACAGAGGGACUACGACCACCUAAGACAACCACGUGACCAGCUGGUGCAGAGAGACGGCUUGUGGGGAGCUUGGGCCGUCCCUGCGACGGGGGAGGGCUGGCGCCCACGCGGACGGGAGAUCCUUACACAAUCACCCGAGUUGCUCUGCGUCAGUGGCACAGGCAGACUGUAGCGUAAACAGAAGCAGGUCUGUGUUGUGACACAGCCCACAGCCAGCACCUGCACAGCCCGGGAGCCUGAGGCAGGUCUACACUGCAGGGGGUGCUACACAAAUCACUUUGUUCUCCCCAAAAAGAGCCAGCACCGUUCCCAGUGCUGCGUUCCCAGGCUGCUUGGAGCUCAGAGUUCAGAGCGGAGGGAGUUUGACAAGCACAUGAGCCUCGACUAUGUCUGACUCACUGCCUCUGUGCAGACGGGAUCUCUAACUGCUGAACAGCUGAGUGAGCUGCACACUUUCUCAGUUUCUCACACUCUGUUAUGUAAGUCGUUCAUUCACUCAAUCAUCCUAUUUCUGUCCUUAUGCCGAAGGGAGGGGUCAGCUGCUGCUUAGAGGUAUCUGCAUCGUCCCUCCGUCCCUCCCUCUUUCCUUCCAGUGAGAAAAAGUCACCAUCGCUAGUUAAGUACCCCCCCCACCCCCCGCACUGUUGACGAGGCUCUUCCUGUCAGAUCUUUAGUUGAUGUGAGAUUAAGGUAAGGGGACAAUUCUUGCAAAAACUCGUUUUUUCAGAGAGAAAUCAUGUCAUGGAUAUUCCAGAGGACAUUCUAGCUCUUUCCGUUUUGUUACCGAUUUAUGUUUUUUGACACAAAAACAAGCCUGAAUAAUGUUUGCUCAAGCUAAAGAAAGAUAAUACCAGCGAGUCCUGGAUGUUCUGGUUUAACAAGCAUCUGAAUUAAAAUGUAAAGAAGUAAUUUGUUCAAACUGUCUAUAUCCUCAUUUACGUUUCCUUGACCAACAUCGUCUAUUAAAUAAAGUAUUUGAUUAUAAUUGUCAA